AUGAAAGGAGGCAAGGCGAUGGGCCCUGAUUGUAUCCCCAUUGAGGUGUGGAAAGGUCUCGGGGACAUAGCGAUAGUAUGGCUAACCAAGCUUUUCAACCUCAUUUUUCGGGCAAACAAGAUGCCAGAAGAAUGGAGACGGAGUAUAUUAGUACCAAUCUUCAAGAACAAGGGGGAUGUUCAGAGUUGUACUAAUUACCGUGGAAUUAAGCUGAUGAGCCAUACAAUGAAGCUAUGGGAGAGAGUCAUUGAGCACCGCUUAAGAAGAAUGACAAGCGUGACCAAAAAUCAGUUUGGUUUCAUGCCUGGGAGGUCGACCAUGGAAGCCAUUUUCUUGGUACGACAACUUAUGGAGAGAUAUAGGGAGCAUAAGAGGGACUUGCAUAUGGUGUUCAUUGACUUGGAGAAGGCCUAUGAUAAGAUACCGCGGAAUGUCAUGUGGUGGGCCUUGGAGAAACACAAAGUCCCAGCAAAGUACAUUACCCUCAUCAAGGACAUGUACAAUAAUGUUGUGACAAGUGUUCGAACAAGUGAUGUCGACACCGAUGACUUCCCGAUUAAGAUAGGACUGCAUCAGGGGUCAGCUUUGAGCCCUUAUCUUUUUGCAUUGGUGAUGGAUGAGGUCACAAGGGGUAUACAAGGAGAUAUCCCAUGGUGUAUGCUCUUUGUGGAUGAUGUGGUGCUAGUUGACGAUAGUCGGACGGGGGUAAAUAGGAAGUUAGAGUUAUGGAGACAAACCUUGGAAUCGAAAGGGUUUAGGCUUAGUAGAACUAAAACCAAGUACAUGAUGUGCGGUUUCAGUACUACUAGCUGUGAGGAGGAGGAGGUUAGCCUUGAUGGCCAGGUGGUACCUCGGAAGGACACCUUUCGGUAUUUGGGGUCAAUGUUGCAGGAGGAUGGGGGUAUUGAUGAAGAUGUGAACCAUCGAAUCAAAGCCGGAUGGAUGAAGUGGCGCCAAGCUUCUGGCAUUCUCUGUGACAAGAGAGUGCCACAAAAGCUAAAAGGCAAGUUCUACAGGACGGCGGUUCGACCCGCAAUGUUGUAUGGCGCGGAGUGUUGGCCGACUAAGAGGCGACAUGUUCAACAGUUAGGUGUGGCGGAGAUGCGUAUGUUGAGAUGGAUGUGUGGCCACACGAGGAAGGAUCGAGUCCGGAAUGAUGAUAUACGAGAUAGAGUUGGGGUAGCACCAAUUGAGGAGAAGCUUGUCCAACAUUGUUUGAGAUGGUUUGGGCAUAUUCAGCGCAGGCCUCCAGAAGCUCCAGUGCAUAGCGGACGGCUAAAGCGUGCGGAGAAUGUCAAGAGAGGGCGGGGUCGACCGAUUUUGACAUGGGAGGAGUCCGUUAAGAGAGACCUGAAGGAUUGGAGUAUCGACAAAGAGCUAGCUAUGGACAGGGGUGCGUGGAAGCUUGCUAUCCAUGUGCCAGAGCCAUGA
rnacentral:rRNA from 1 species